GAAUCCCGUCUUUGACACGGACUGCCAGGGCUUUGUGAUGUGCUCUCGAAGAGUCGAGUUGUUUGGGAAUGCAGCUCAAAAUGGGUGGUAAAUUCCAUCUAAAGCUAAAUAUUGGCGAGAGACUGAUAGCGAACAAGUACCGUGAGGGAAAGAUGAAAAGCACUUUGGAAAGAGAGUGAAACAGUGCGUGAAAUUGUUGAAAGGGAAACGCUUGAAGUCAGUCGCGCCGUUCGGGAUUCAGCCUUGCUUCUGCUCGGUUUACUUCCCGUUGGGUGGGUCAACAUCAGUUUCGAUCGGAGGAGAAAGACUUGGGGAAUGUGGCAGCAUUCGUGCUGUGUUAUAGCCCCGUGUUGUAUACUUCGACUGGGACUGAGGAUCGCAGCACGCCUCUGGCCGGGGUUCGCCCACGUACGUGCUUAGGAUGUUGGCAUAAUGGCUUUAAGCGACCCGUCUUGAAACACGGACCAAGGAGUCUAACAUGUGCGCGAGUGUUUGGGUGUUAAACUUGAACGCGAAAUGAAAGUGAAAAGUUGGGAACACAUCUGUGUGCACCGACGCCCGGAGCUGACCUUCUGUGACGCAUCUGCGGUAGAGCGUAUAUGUUGGGACCCGAAAGAUGGUGAACUAUGCCUGAAUAGGGUGAAGCCAGAGGAAACUCUGGUGGAGGCUCGUAGCGAUUCUGACGUGCAAAUCGAUCGUCAAAUUUGGGUAUAGGGGCGAAAGACUAAUCGAACCAUCUAGUAGCUGGUUCCUGCC
rnacentral:rRNA from 2 species